rnacentral:rRNA from 1 species
CCUACGGGAGGCAGCAGUAGGGAAUCUUCCACAAUGGGCGAAAGCCUGAUGGAGCAACGCCGCGUGGGUGAAGAAGGUCUUCGGAUCGUAAACCCCUGUUGUUAGAGACGAAAGUGCGGGAGAGUAACUGUUCACGUUUCGACGGUAUCUAACCAGCAAGCGACGGCUAACUACGUGCCAGCACCCGCAGGAAUACGAAGGUGGCAAGCGUUAUCCGGAUUUAUUGGGCGUAAAGGGAACGCAGGAGGCCUUUUAAGGCUGAUGUGAAAGCCUUCGGCUUAACCGGAGUAGUGCAGUGGAAACUGGAAGACUUGAGUGCAGGAGAGGAGAGUGGAA